GGACAACAGUUGGAAACGACUGCUAAUACCGCAUAAGCCCACGGCUCGGCAUCGAGCAGGGGGAAAAGGAGCAAUCCGCUUUGAGAUGGCCUCGCGUCCGAUUAGCUAGUUGGUGAGGUAACGGCCCACCAAGGCGACGAUCGGUAGCCGGACUGAGAGGUUGAACGGCCACAUUGGGACUGAGACACGGCCCAGACUCCUACGGGAGGCAGCAGUGGGGAAUAUUGCACAAUGGGGGAAACCCUGAUGCAGCGACGCCGCGUGGAGGAAGAAGGUCUUCGGAUUGUAAACUCCUGUUGUUGAGGAAGAUAAUGACGGUACUCAACAAGGAAGUGACGGCUAACUACGUGCCAGCAGCCGCGGUAAAACGUAGGUCACAAGCGUUGUCCGGAAUUACUGGGUGUAAAGGGAGCGCAGGCGGGAGAACAAGUUGGAAGUGAAAUCCAUGGGCUCAACCCAUGAACUGCUUUCAAAACUGUUUUUCUUGAGUAGUGCAGAGGUAGGCGGAAUUCCCGGUGUAGCGGUGGAAUGCGUAGAUAUCGGGAGGAACACCAGUGGCGAAGGCGGCCUACUGGGCACCAACUGACGCUGAGGCUCGAAAGUGUGGGUAGCAAACAGGAUUAGAUACCCUGGUAGUCCACACUGUAAACGAUGAUUACUAGGUGUUGGAGGAUUGACCCCUUCAGUGCCGCAG
rnacentral:rRNA from 1 species